CUUGAACUGCAGCAGACUACGUGGGAGUCAUACAACAUAACUGUUAAGCCAUCUGCUGGUCCUGAAAGUCUGUUUAUGAACAAGUUUGCAUUCAAUUACUAUGUUAUCUGAGCACCAAGAUCCAACACAAGCAAACCUUUGUGAGUGUGGACCCUACAGUGUUCCUCUACCUUGUGAGACUUCUCUGUUGGCAUUGCAGUUCAUGAUGCGGUUGAAGGAAGCUUCUGGCCGGGCCCCUGGCACUGUGUCAGGACACAGCAAGAAGGUAUCCACCAUCCCUAAGGCAGAGAGCAAGCCUUCGUCAGAAACCGAAUUUGCUGGGGCACAAUCUUGGACUCCCCAGCCUCCACACUGCGAGAAAUAAAUUUCUAUUAUUUCUAAUUA